rnacentral:rRNA from 1 species
AUUGAACGCUAGCGGCAUGCCUUACACAUGCAAGUCGAACGGUAACAGGUCUUCGGAUGCUGACGAGUGGCGAACGGGUGAGUAAUACAUCGGAACGUGCCUAGUAGUGGGGAUAACUACUCGAAAGAGUGGCUAAUACCGCAUGAGAUCUACGGAUGAAAGCAGGGGAUCGCAAGACCUUGUGCUACUAGAGCGGCCGAUGGCAGAUUAGGUAGUUGGUGGGAUAAAAGCUUACCAAGCCGACGAUCUGUAGCUGGUCUGAGAGGACGAUCAGCCACACUGGGACUGAGACACGGACCAGACUCCUACGGGAGGCAGCAGUGGGGAAUUUUGGACAAUGGGCGCAAGCCUGAUCCAGCAAUGCCGCGUGCAGGAUGAAGGCCUUCGGGUUGUAAACUGCUUUUGUACGGAACGAGAAGCCCUGGGUUAAUACCCUGGGGUCAUGACGGUACCGUAAGAAUAAGCACCGGCUAACUACGUGCCAGCAGCCGCGGUAAUAC